GGGGAAUUUUGGACAAUGGGCGCAAGCCUGAUCCAGCCAUGCCGCGUGCAGGAUGAAGGCCUUCGGGUUGUAAACUGCUUUUGUACGGAACGAAACGGCCUUUUCUAAUAAAGAGGGCUAAUGACGGUACCGUAAGAAUAAGCACCGGCUAACUACGUGCCAGCAGCCGCGGUAAUACGUAGGGUGCAAGCGUUAAUCGGAAUUACUGGGCGUAAAGCGUGCGCAGGCGGUAAUGUAAGACAGUUGUGAAAUCCCCGGGCUCAACCUGGGAACUGCAUCUGUGACUGCAUUGCUGGAGUACGGCAGAGGGGGAUGGAAUUCCGCGUGUAGCAGUGAAAUGCGUAGAUAUGCGGAGGAACACCGAUGGCGAAGGCAAUCCCCUGGGCCUGUACUGACGCUCAUGCACGAAAGCGUGGGGAGCAAACA
rnacentral:rRNA from 1 species